CUCCGUUGUUUGUGUGUUAGAUUAUGAAUACCGGUUGCUCCGGUAGGCCGGAAAAAAAUGUAUUUUUCACAAACCAGGUGGACUAACAGGUAUUAGUUUACUCACAGGUACACGUACGAUAAAAUUGCUGUGUCAUCAACGUGCUGUUCAUGACUCGUAAGAGUUAAACCAUUUAAGAGUCUAUAUCUCUUUAGUUGUUUAUUAGUUAAGACACAGGCCUUCACUGGUCUUUGGACUUACCUAAAGCUCAUUAUCAAGGAUGCUGACCUUAGACCCACUCUGUAAAAUGGCCCAAGUACAGAUAAGGGUAAACCGUUACUGAUACUUUGAAAUAUUUGCAGGAUUUGUGAGAAAAUAAAAGACAAAGAGUUAUGGCAAACAAUCAUAGCUCGGAUGAUACUCGAGGCAGGAGAGAGCUUAAGUGCUGGAGACAGUUUUUCCACAUCAAAAUGGAUGAUGAGGAGGAUGAACACAAGGACUGCCUGAGCCAGCUCCAUCACAGUUGUAAGUUAUGAGUUUAAUUCAAUAUUACAACCUUAAUUUGCUGUGUGCCUCUGGAUAACAUAGGGGAGAGUGGGGUAAGUUGAGCCACCCCCUGUUGCUUGGAAAUGGUAAAAGAAAUUGAUCAUGUCACCAAAUAUUUAGGAUAUGGGCAUCAAUUCAUGGAGUCUGAAGGUUAGAGGCACAUGGAUGAAGGGGUUAGACAUUUAUUUCCAAGAAAAUAAAAACAUUUUUCACUCUUGAAAGUGAAUUUAGUCUGCCAUAAGUUUGAUUAGAAUUGUGUUUAGACCAAAAAAGAUCAUUUUAAAUUUGUUUUAUUCAUUCAUUCAUUUAUUUUAUUAUUGUGUCAUGCACAGAAAGUGCCCAGGACAUAUAAUAGCAACAAGAUGACGGACAGAUAACAGACAUAACAAAUUAAGCAUAUAAGCACUCCUGACGUUUUAGAGACAGGCUUUAGAGACAAAAUAAGCUAAUUUAAAGACAUUAAAGUUGAACAACCAGUUCAUUCUAUCAUCAUCGGGGCACCAGAAAAUUUCUGGGUUUUUAACACACAUUUCCGUAAAUGAUGAAGCUCUCAGUUCAGCAUACAAAGGGCAAUAUAACAGUAAAUGUGAUUCACUUUCCACUUCACUGAGUUCACAUAAUUCACACAGCCUGUCAUCUUCUGGAAUAUUUUUAAGUCUGCCAAUUUCAAGAUUCAAGGGGAGGCUUCCUGUUCUCAGUUGUGCCAACAAAGACCUUUGAUUUCUUGUAAGGUUUGUUCUAACAUACGGUUCAGGGCCAUAACUGUGCUUGAGUUGGAUGUUUUAUACUCAAGACUCCCCUUUUUAACCAGGCUUUUCACUGACUGCCUUUUUAUAUUUCUCUUGUUGCAAAUGCUCAUUUUAAUCAAAGUUCUUAUUGUUCAUUUCAUGUCAUUUUAUUAACUAUCUCUGGUCUUCAUCUUUUUCUUAACUCCUGUCAUAGAGGUUUUUUUACUUCUUUUACCCCUUUUACAUGGUAAAGAGCUCUUUCUCAUCUGUUCAUUUAAUGUUAUUUUCUUGUUUUAGUCCAUCAGGUUUUACUCUUUUCUUUUACCAUUUUCUAUUUUUUAUCCUUUUAUCUCAAGUGUUUCUCAGAGGUAGCUCUUUUCUCACAUAAAGUCUCGGUGUCAGGCCACGUCUCCUUAACAAUAUAUCUUAAAUUCUCACACUGUGUGCGCUUGUGUGUGUGUAUGUGUGGGUAAGUGAGUGUAAGCAUCAUUCAGCUUGUGUUGUACAUUUAUUAUACUUGUUUUAUUUACAUUUCCAGAAUUCUAACAUAUUUACUCUAUGUCAAUCACUUGAACCUGCUACAAACAACCAGCCUUAAACUGAAUUGCCUCCAUUUUGCUGUAAUCCAAGUUUUGUCCAGCAGGUGGCAGCAAGCAACCAUGUACUACCAUUAAGCUGAGGUAGCCUGUUAUACUUUGACACAAGCCUUGCAUUCGUGUGUUAUGUCUGUACACAGAUCAACAUGCUGGUAUUUGGGUUGAUCUCGUCCUUGGCUGCAGAUCUCUCUCUGCUGGAAAAUAAUUUUACAGGAAACAGACAGAAAAAAAAAGCCAGAUCACUCGACUUCCCUUACCAAAGCUCACCACGAGUGGUUCAUUCAUAUUUUACAAACAUUAUUACUACAUACAGGGGGAUUACAUAGUGUGGACAGAAGGUCAUUAGAACAGGAAACACUAUGCUGGUCAUCAGCUGAUUGUGCGUAAGCAAACACUUCCUUCCCUUUUCUUUGCAGGAUCAGUCAGCAAAGGAGUGUCUGGGAGUGUAUGUGCUUUUAUAAAACACAAAGACAGAGAGAUGUGUGUGUUCAUGUGAGUGUAACUGGAUCCAGGCCGAUUCGUAAACACCUAAAAUCGAGUUUGUGUGCACUUAUCCUGAUUGUAUCCUCACCUGACCUCCAUGUACCAUAUUUAUCUUCUUUUUCCAUGUUUAUUUAAGCAACAAGUGGAACAGGAAGUGCUUGUAAGUGGCUGUAGACUCAUUCCUCUUUGAUUUUGUGUUACAGUAUGACUUAUUAUGGCUGCCUCUAAGUAAACUAUACCAGCAAGUGCUUUGAUUUGAUAUGUAAUCAAACAAAGAUAUACAUUGAGCUAUAUCAUUCAAGUGAGUAUUUGUUCAUCCAUUAGGGAUAAAAAAAGAAAAAGCAUCAGACACAACAGUUUACCUAAGCUGUUACUGGCGCCUCGUAAGCAGUUUCCCAGAUGCCAAAGACAAUAGAGAGGCAGGAGGAUGUACUGAAUAAACUAUGAGAACAAUCCAUUAGCUAUUAUAGGACUAUUAACAUUACUUUGGCAGAUGUAGAGCAGAAGGAUGCAGGUUUUUGUUUUGGUACAAAGGGGGAAGAAGACAAAUAAACAAGCGAGAGCUGAAGGAGGACUUCUCAUGUUGGUAUGACUCUGCGGGUUGAGAAACCGAGAAAUCUGAUGAUUCGAAAGAAAUUCAAGAAAUUGAGUAAAUUUAUCUGGAUUACUGAGUCACUGGGGUGUGAUGGUGUAAAAAGCAUCCUUUAAUUGCAAAACACGAAUGUGGAUGUUUUGCUGAUGUUUCAGAGCACUGUGAAGUCCAAGACAAAUUUCCUACCAUAACAGUAUAAGUUAACCUAAUAACUUUCUAAAGGCAUUCACCUUUAAUAUUACAGCAUUAAUUUUAAAGCUACUGUGAGGAAUUUUUUACUGCUUACGAGAGAGAGUCAAAAACUCUAAAAGACGCGUCUAUGUGAUCAAUACAAGCACGCAAGAUCAUCAGUGACAGGAUCAACUAUUCCUCUGUGGUUGAUUUUAAUGCCUGAAACUGCUGCCAAGGGAGAAGGCGUGCUCCCAAACCAGCUUUUUUUGCCGUUGUCUGUGGUGAAAAUUCUCAUCUGGCAUCUCUGGAUCUCAGACAUGUACGGGACAAACUCAGCAAACGAUCGUGGGCGCUGAAAAACAUAGAUAAAAAUUCCUUUAAGUUGCUGAGAAAUUAUCUUUUUAUCUUAAAGCUCCUGUGAGGAAUUUUUGUAUGUUUCUGAAAUUGACUGAAAUUAAUAUGGAUGACUUUUUAUGACAUACAAAAGCAAAUAAGACCAAGAGCAACAGGAUUAAGGAUUUUUAUGUUGUAGUUUUUAACGCCUAAAAGUGGUUUGAGGGGGUAGGUGUCAGGUAAGUUUCCUCAUACAAAAUAGACAAUACGAUGAUUGUGAUAAAUUUCAGUUCGAUUACGGUGAUCAGCUGCGAGCAUAUUUACUCGAGCAAACACAGCGGAAAUGUGCGUCACAACACAGCAGCCAAUCAGAGUCGAGCUUUUCCUGCUCCACUUCUGUAAGUUGCCGGAGAAGUAAACAGAAGAAGUAAACAGAAUGACCGAACAUGGAGCUAAACGCAGAGCUGAGGGCAACAAAAUAGAUGUCAGCCGUGACUUUGAGUCAUCCUCCGAUGAUGCAAUUGUUGAGAAGAAAAGUUAUUCAACGUUGGUUGUGUGGCGGUGGUUCGAGUAUCUCCAAAGUGACGUCGAGCAAUUACGCCGAUGUGCAAGGUAUGUCUGCGGUCGAUGCCCUCAAAAACCGGCUACACAACAAAUCUGUUUAAUCAUUUGAAGAAGUUCUUCCCGAUUGGUCAUGUUGAAAGGAUGAAAAUGUGAGCAGAGUCUGUACAGCCUGUUACUGCUGAUGACAAAAGUAGCCUUAGCAGUUUAGCCACAACUAACCACCGGACCAAAGCAGCAAUCAAUCGUAUCAUCAAUGUUUACAUCAUCUAAUGUUGACAUUUAAGGCGUCGUCAUUAUCUCACUAAUUCACUGUAUUAUUUAGCAUUUAUCAACAUUUGUUAUACUGUUGAGUUAAAAUGUUUCUUCAUCUUUGUCUAAGUGUAUUCUAUUCAAUUUGCUUUGUUAUUUACUUUGUAUGUUAAUAAAAUGUUGAUCUAAUCUCUAGUUUCUUUAGUUUUUAGUACAGAUGCUUUAAAACUGGCAGUUUAAAAAAAAAAAAUCACGAUAAUAAUCGAGAUCGGACGAUAUGACAAAAUAUAUCGUGAUUAUUUUUUUGCCAAAUCGCCCAGGCCUAGUCAAAGGGCACAUAUCCACAUAGGAGCUUUAAAUUUUAUAACAAUUAAUGAAAGCAUACUGUAAAACUUUAACUGAAUGCAGGUUCUAAUUAACCCUCCAGUCUUUUAUAUUAGCUUUGAGACGUGGUACAUUUUGACAAAUAGAGGUUGGAUCUAGGUCAUGUUUAUCUGAUUUCAGUGCUGCAAAAUAUUUUUAAAGUGUGUCUGGGCGUGUAUGUUUUUCUCUCUAACUCUAUAUGAUUUAGUAUUUGUAGUUUAGUAUUCUGUCAGAGUAAAAGAAAACACUUCACAAGAAAAAGAUGUUUAUUCCAGGCUGUCAGCGCUGCCCACUCCAGUUUAACAUGUUGUCAUAGUUAAAAUAAAUCCUUAGAAAACCCUUUUUCAUGUUUAGUCUUUCUAAACAGUGACUCUGCAAGACAGAAAUACUUGGCCCAAAAAGUCCAGAAUUAACAUUCUGAAACGUUGUAAUUUUGGGAGCAGUGAUGUUUAAAAAAGGAAAGCCCUGUUUCUUGCCCUCUGAAUCAGGUCAGUAGCUGAGCUGGCAGACUGAGCAGCCUGGCUGUUUACAUUAUAACAAUAUCUUUGCAAGGUCACGUCCCUCGCUGCCUCCUCUGACACUCACGCAGGCGGCCUGCAGUCUGGCUCUUACAGUGAAAAACCUGAAAUUAUCAGGAGCUGUGGGAGACGGUAAACAGCUCUGAGUAUACACAUCCCUAGCCAUCACCUUUACUGUACUCCUCUCCACGGCUCCCUGCUGUGCUCCUGUAUUUAGUUUCUCGCCCUCUUCGCCUCCCUCACCUCUUUGAGUGGUUACAUAACACAAAAGCGAUGCCAUUCGUCUGCUCACAUCGUCCCUGCGUGCUGAUUCAAUCUCUGAGCUCUAAUGGCGUUCUCAACUGCUGCACAAUUUCCACUAAGAUACACAUCUGUACUUCACUAAUUACAGCCUGCCUUUAAGGAGCGAUCCUGUUUGACACAAGAUGACAGGCGCUUUCAUCUCAACACCGCUCUGUCGACUGAAACACACUGCUGCACUUUGUUCUGCCACAUCAGGUCCAUUCAUAGUUAGACUGGAGCAUUUUUCUCACCAGUUUGCUUUUCCUCUGGAGAAAUCGGCACAAUCAAGAUACAAAGUCAGAGGUCAUGUGAAGUUUGAUGUGUAAAGAGUUGAUUCAGUUCAGAGGAGGUUUUGAGGAACGGAAAAUGCUUCCUGACACACCUAUCAGAGUCAUGAAUCAGGUUUUUGGGGAAAGUAUGGUCAGUGUUACACAAAACCUGACCUUUAGACUCAGUUCAGCCAUAAAACAUUUGGUUGUAAUCAAACUCCCACUGGGAUGCACCAUAGGUCAUGUAUUUCUGCUAAAUCAUCAUUUCUCACUGUAGACAUUUUUUUAGGCUUAAAGGGUCAGUUACACUAAUUUAAAAAAGGCAAAACUCCUGAUAACAGUCAACAAGUAGAUUUUAGUAUGUACAAUGAUGAGCGUGGCAUCAAAAACAAGAUCAAAUUUAGUUUACCUCCUUGUUUGAGAUCCUGAGCUGCUUUUUUGUGGGUUGAAUCUUGUCCAGACUGUAAUGACAUGCUCCUCGGCGCCUGCUUCACCUCCUCCCCGAGUUUCCAGAAAAUCAGGCCAAGAUGUUGUUACUUUAAUCAUACUUCAAUCUGAGCAACAAACAACCCUGAAAAACUAAAGAGGUAACAACCUCAAACACUUUUGUAGAAUAGACUGUGUUGUAUCGUAUCAUACUGUUACUAGUUCAUGAUUAAAUUUUUGUAUUUUUGUUUAUGGUCAGAACAAUUGAACUAGCUCAAUAGAUUAAAUUUUGUUAAACAGCUAAAUUGACUGUAUAUACAGACACAUGCUAACUAACAUAGGAGACAAAAUUUUACAUCUGAGGAAAUACUCAUGGAGUAUGAUCAAAGUAAUGUCACUAAAAACAUUUUUAAAGCUCCUGUGAGGAACUUUAAGGAUGUGUCAGUUUUGGCGCCUCCUGUGGACAAAGCAGGCUUUACUUAUCUUGUCCUCUACAUGCUGAUGUAUAUGAUUCUGCCGACCUUUAACAUUUAAAAAUAUCUCACUCGUACUGUUUCAAUUAAUUUCAGAUAUUAUGCAGAUAAAUACUUCAGAUAAUUACAAAUGGGGCCCAGUCAGCGUUAAAGUAAAAAGCAUUGGUGCUACUGUAGAUGUCAACAGACUACCAGCAAACACAAUGUUUACAGGACUUUUACAACGAGGAUAAAGUGACAUAGUCCAGGACCCCAGGUCAACAGUUUAGCGGCGCCAAAACACGCAGCAGGUCCCGUUUGACAAGAAACACUUCUGUUACAGACACUCAUCUUACUUUGUUAAAGCGGUUUACCUGUCCAGCAGAAAGGUUACAGGGUCACGAAGAUCCCAAAGUUCCCCCCGUUGUUUAUGCUUCAUUGAUGUUGACCCGGCUUUUUAGCUCUUGUCUGGUCUACCUCCUUUUUAAGCGCCCGUUAUUCCGCCAGAGUCGCCGGUAUUUACUUUGUUUUCUUGCUUGUGUUUUCCGAACUUUCUGGUUGGUUUCUACCGUCUGAUGUUGUAGCACGCUAACUUUGUUUGGGCUCGUGAACGUUAUUGGAGGACGUGAACUGUGCCUCACAACACGAGGGAGCAGCGUUUGCCUCACAACCAAUCAGGUUGGGGGAGGCAGAGAAUGGCUUUGUUUACAGUCAGAAAGAGCGGGCAUGAAAAUUUAAAAUGUUGACUACACAGACAUAACAAAACACAGUGAAAUCCUUAUAUUUCCAAAUGUCAUCAAUAACUAAUAGCUAUUGACUGAUAUUAAAAGCUUUUUUGUAAAUUCACCACAAACAAAGAUGCUUCUUUAACGGUUUCCUGCAUACCCCACCUUUAAGGGGCUCUAAUGAAACCUACCCCUCACACCAGUCUCAGGCAUCAAACAUUUCGUAUAGAAGUCAUCCUUUUUUUAUAUUUUUACUAAUGGUCUUACUUGCUUUAGUAUAUCAUAGAAAUGCAGUAACAUGAAUUUCAGUCUGUUUCAUAAAUGUAAAAAAAAACACAGAUUUUGAUUUUAAGGUUUCUGAUUUUGAACAGACGUUAUCCAUGACAUCACUUGGCCCCGCCCCCUUCCGACUACCAAGCUUGGCACAAAAUAUUUGAAAAAUCCUGAAAAAUCUUUCAUGUGAAAUGUUUCAUUUGGCUCGUAUAACACUUGAAAUUUCACACUGGUUGAGCAGAUUGAAGUCCUGGUGUUACAGGGACUUUGAUUUUCCCCACUGCCUUGUCUUGCCUUUGUGAAACACACCAGAGGAGAUGCAGCAGAAUCACUAAUUAGUUUCCGACGUGAUGAUGAUGGCGUACAGCAUCUCAGGCCUCUGUGUCACAACAAAGAACAGCAGCCGUCGAGCGUGUGUUUGGACACCGGCGUAAAGCUGUUAAUGUGUUCUGCUCCGUCCUUCAAAGAGAUAAUCUGAGAUGGUGGCGAGAUGGCACUGUGGUGAAUUUAGGUUAUUCUGCCCUUUGAGGGGGAGCAGAGAGUCAUUAGGGCGCAGCGAGGAGCCCCAGGGAAACAGGCAUCGCUGCUAUUUAUAGAGCCGUCUCAAGAAGUCAAUACUGUUGUUCUGUGAGGCUGUAUAAUAUGCUCCUCUGGGGGACAGUGGCUUGUUCUCAUGGCUUCUUUGUGACAUUUACAACAGCUGGAAAUACAGUUUCAUGCAUCGUUGUAAAAACAGUGCAGUACAAUCCCUGAAAAAGUGGCGUUUAGUUUGUAAAAUGGUCUGUGCAAAGAUCCUGAAAAUGUGCGUAAAAUUGGGGUCAUUUAAAGGGCAAUUACACAACUUUGCCUCUGAUUGAACUGUACUGGUAAAUGAUGGAUUUGCCCCAAGGUCUCUGAAGCUGCUCAAACCCCUGCACAUGAAUCAAACAUGCACCUUUAUAUAAUUAUUCAACCGCUCUCCUCGUUCCUCCUUGUUUUGUCUCCAUGACAAAUACUCAUGAGGUUGUCCUCCAUCUUUAAAAGCUCUCGCUGCAUGUAGGUCAAGCAGAAAGCAUUAAAAUACCAAAAGGGUUGGCGUAAUUUGUCUUUAACAGGGUGAUAAAACCAAGAAAAACAGACAGAAAUCACAGCAUAAACUGUGUGUUUAAACUUGAUAGUCUUAAUCUUGUGUUUGUUUGUCUGAUCUUCAACUUAAUUAAAUACUCAACUUUAUUUGUAAAGCACUUUAAAGCAACCAUAGCUGAACAAAGGGCUGUACAUAAAUAGACGAAACAACGCAGACAUAAAAAACUAUCCGAAAACAAUUAAAACAAUGGAUAAAAUAAAAGCAGAUAUUAAAAAGUAAAAUAUAUAUUUCCAAUGUUUUUAAAAACAAUGGAAACAAAUAACUACAACAAACCAUAAAACACUAAAACAGGAGCUUAAUCUAUGGAGUUUAAUCCAUGUCCCAUCUGUUGACAUGGAGGAAACAAACGUCAUAGCACAGUUUGGAGAUUUCAAAAUAUUUUGGCUUUACUUAUGAGCGCUCUCCUGUUAUCCAUCUUUUUUUUUACAGUCUGUGGUUCAGACAGAUUCUAGUCUGAGUAGCCAUAAGUGUGUGUAUGUAGCUAACCAAACUAGCAGGAAUUGCAACAUCUUAGCUGUGAUUGAAGCAUUGUGGGAUUUGCUUUUGAAAACUGUAAAUUAACAAUAACAUAUUGGCCUUUUUGUGGAAUUAAAACAGACACAGCUUUUUCACAUUAUAGUCUAACAUUGAGUAUAAAACCUCUUAUAGUAGCUUUAAUUAAAGUUUUUUAGAACACUUUGUCUGCCGUGAGAAAAAAGUAAUUUUCAUGUCCCCUCUGAUGAGAAGAUACUGUAACUGAGUCUGUCCUAUCUUCACAUGUCCUCGACUCAUGACACAUUUAUCUCACUUAUCAUGCCAGCCGUCACCUUUGCCAAAUACUCUGCAUGGGAGCGGCAAACUCACAAGAUCUGCAACCAUCGGACUCUUGUAUGUCACUUUACACACGCAAAUAUAAUAAAUCAACAGGAGUAGAUACAAACCUGAUCAAUGUUCACUUUUAUUGCUAUGGGAUUUGAUGUUAAAGUGCGGCGUUAUCUACGGCUCUGUGCUGCAGUAAGUGCCAGCUUCCUCUUCUUGCAGAUAGAUGAGCCGCUGCAGCUCUGCUAAGUUUGAACUUUCUCCAGCACUGAGUGAUCUACGGUAAUCCACCACGCUCGCCUGUCAGCAGCUGAGCAACUGGUGUCUGCCGCAGCAGCCACAGCAUAAGUUCAUCAGGUUGUAUCAUCCGAUCCCCUUCAUGCCCUGAUGACCUUAGAUUUCCCAUAAGCCCCCCUUGACCUGGAGUAUUUAUAAGUCUAUGAACCAUAAAUUGUGCAAAAAUAUAGAUGACGUGACAGCUACAGAAAAUUGAGGCCAAAAUAUUUGCUGGUUGGCUGCAGAAUGGGCAGCAAAGCCAGCAUUUUCCACGGAUAAGGCAUGAAUCGAACUUCAUGCUGUCGUAUGUUUUUACCUCUAUCUGACUUGGUAUGUCAGGUACAGGGCACCAUUUUUAACGCACAGUUUGCAUUUCGUUUUAAUUUGAAAAGACUCCUUUGUCCCCCGUUGUUUUGCAGAUCUAUCUACGGCUUGAUCAUUUAAAAUAUGACUAAUUUUACUCUUUUUGUUCUCAUGUGGUAUGCAGCAUUACGAGUAGACUGCGUUGUUUCCACAUUUAGAGGUUGAAGUGUUGUCUGUUUGUCCCAGGUGGAUUAGGAUGCUUUUAUGAGCUGAAAUGUGAGAAAAUUUACAAGAGAAUUAUUUAUAUCCUGCUUGUUAGAUGUGUUCCCACACCACCUGCUGUUGUGAUUUGACAUUUACGCUGUAUCUCAUAAUCCAUCAAGCGAAAUUGGGUCAACAUGUCUCUUGUGAUUGCUGCAAUCUCCUUUUACUAUCUGGGCUCUCUCUACUCACUAAUCUCCUCGCUGUAUCUCCUGUUAGGAUGUAAUAAAUUACGCAGAGUUUCCACUAGUGAUACUUGUCUGGCAGCCACAAUCAUCAGGGCUGAGAGAGUCACAGCUGCAGGCUGCUCGAUGAAUGUCACUGUGAGGUUUCUUGAUAAAUUGCAUCACUGUGUGCCUGCCUACCAUUCACGGUUACUGAAAAGAUAUUGAAAUGCUGACCAGAGUAUCUAACUAAACAAAUUCUUAUCUUUGGGUUUGGAUUAUUUUGCAUGGGUGGAAGUACAGAGGCUAGUGGGUAUGCUAAUGAAUGACACCACAGUUUACUUGAUCCGUCUGGAUCUUAAUUCCCGAUGUAUCUUUAUAGAGAGGCCUUUUGAACACAGUAUGUAAAUUCGUGGAGUUAUCUCUUUGCAGAUGAUACCACUGUGUAUCCUACCAAGCCUCUUACCUGUUUUCAGGUUGGGUUUGCCAAUUUGAAAUAUUGUUAACUGGUGUUGAAGAAAAGCAAUGCAUUUAAACAUUUUGAGUGACCUCAAACUGACGAUUAUUUUAUUAUUUAUUGUCACAUGAAACUGUGCUAACUGUGCUUCCCACCCUGAGUAUGGAAAAAACACUAAAUUGUGAGCUAAAUCAAUAAUUGUUUUGGUACAUCACGGUCAUGUUAAAACAGAAACCACAGAUUUUAAAAACUCUUGCAAAACUUGAGGUUUGUACAUAGGUUGGAGCGAAUGCAUGCAUCAAAUACAUAAAUGCAGAGCAGUGUUGUAGCACUUGAGUCCAGGACUCUCCAGGAUCUCUAGUUUUUAAGAUGUUGGGCACAUGUAGAUACAUUCAUGCCCUGUCUGGUUAUGCAACAGUUCCUCUUCGGAGGCCCUCAAAGAAGCACCUUCAGUCAUGAUUCAACUAAAAAAACUGCAAGUGAGAGUAAUGCAACAUGUGCAAAGAACCAUCAAGGGGAAGAUGGGGACUUAAAGGAACAGUCUGUAGAAAUGGGAAUAUUUACUUAGAAGUGGUCUUGAAACUCUUUUUCUCCUCCCCUCUGUUGUUUUUGAAGCGAAACACAACUCACUCACUCUCUUCCAGCAGCCGCUUGUUUGUAGCAAGACCUCAGGUCAGUCCAUUGCGGCCUGCUGCUGGGUGACGCAGCUCAAGGAAGAACAUUUGUGAUCAUUACUUUAUCAUUUCCUUGAAGUAAUAAUCACCAUAUUAAUCAUUUUGCACUGCAGAAGCGGUAGUUCUUCUGCCUUAGCGUCUCGGUCUGAUUGUAUUUCCAAAUGAUAAAGAAAUGAUCAUAAAUGUUCUUCCUUGAGCUGCGUCACCCCGCUGUAGUCAGUAAUAGACUCGUCUGAGGUCUCGCUACAAACAAGCGGCUGCUGGAAGAGAGUGGGUGAGUUGUGUUUAGUCUCUUUGCUAAAGAAAUCAGGCAAAGUUAAAAAGAUGUUUGGUGGUUAGUACUAUGACUGGGACCCUAUAUGUACUGUUGAUGAAGUUAGGUGCUGUUCUGAGCAUUAUUUGUGGCUAUAGAGUGGCGUUUUGGUUGAGGUUUGCACAUUGAGAUGUACACUCACCGGCCACUUUAUUAGGUACACCUGUCCAACUGCUCGUUAACACUUAAUUUCUAAUCAGCCAAUCACAUGGCGGCAACUUAGUGCAUUUAGGCAUGUAGACAUGGUCAAGACAAUCUCCUGCAGUUCAAACCGAGCAUCAGUAUGGGGAAGAAAGGUGAUUUGAGUGACUUUGAACGUGGCAUGGUUGUUGGUGCCAGAAGGGCUGGUCUGAGUAUUUCAGAAACUGCUGAUCUACUGGGAUUUUCACGCACAACCAUCUCUAGGGUUUACAGAGAAUGGUCCGAAAAAGAAAAAAUAUCCAGUGAGCGGCAGUUCUGUGGGCGGAAAUGCCUUGUUGAUGCCAGAGGUCAGAGGAGAAUGGCCAGACUGGUUCGAGCUGAUAGAAAGGCAACAGUGACUCAAAUAACCACCCGUUACAACCAAGGUAGGCAGAAGAGCAUCUCUGAACGCACAGUACGUCGAACUUUGAGGCAGAUGGGCUACAGCAGCAGAAGACCACGCCGGGUGCCACUCCUUUCAGCCAAGAACAGGAAACUGAGGCUACAAUUUGCACAAGCUCAUCGAAAUUGGACAAUAGAAGAUUGGAAAAACGUUGCCUGGUCUGAUGAGUCUCGAUUUCUGCUGCGACAUUCGGAUGGUAGGGUCAGAAUUUGGCGUCAACAACAUGAAAGCAUGGAUCCAUCCUGCCUUGUAUCAACGGUUCAGGCUGGUGGUGGUGGUGUCAUGGUGUGGGGAAUAUUUUCUUGGCACUCUUUGGGCCCCUUGGUACCAAUUGAGCAUCGUUGCAACGCCACAGCCUACCUGAGUAUUGUUGCUGACCAUGUCCAUCCCUUUAUGACCACAAUGUACCCAACUUCUGAUGGCUACUUUCAGCAGGAUAAUGCGCCAUGUCAUUAAGCUGGAAUCAUCUCAGACUGGUUUCUUGAACAUGACAAUGAGUUCACUGUACUCAAAUGGCCUCCACAGUCACCAGAUCUCAAUCCAAUAGAGCAUCUUUGGGAUGUGGUGGAACGGGAGAUUCGCAUCAUGGAUGUGCAGCCGACAAAUCUGCGGCAACUGUGUGAUGCCAUCAUGUCAAUAUGGACCAAGCUCUCUGAGGAAUGCUUCCAGCACCUUGUUGAAUCUAUGCCACGAAGAAUUGAGGCAGUUCUGAAGGCAAAAGGGGGUCCAACCCGUUACUAGCAUGGUGUACCUAAUAAAGUGGCCGGUGAGUGUAGACCGUUGUGUAUUGCUAUAGUGCGGUCAUUACUAAAGUUGGUAUAACUAGAGAAGCAAGCAAUCGGCAACAUUCAUCUCUCGAGGGGGUGUCUAACUCAGUGUUACGUUGUGUUUGACCCUAAAUUUAUUUUACGCUGGAACAUUCCUUUAAGACACUUGUUUUUUACAUGAACUCAACCACUCUCAUCACCCUCUUCUUUAUUAUUUUGGAUAGCUGCUCACAGAUUGUAAAAACAUGCAUGACUGUUACUAGUUUGUCCUUCCUAAACCACGAUAAAGGCAACACAGCGCAAGAAGUUGGCUUUCUCGAAAGUUCAAGAGCCUGAAAUUCUUAAGAACUCUACUUCUGGUUAGUCUGUGCUUUUGCAAUCACCCGAGAUGGUUGCUAAAUACUGCCUUUUUUUGCUGACAGAACUAUAAUUUGCAUGCUGCUUCUGCUUAUCAGUUCCCACCUUGAUGUAGAAAAUCCAUCCAGGCAUGACGAGGUUGCUUGGUACCAAAUGAUAAGAUGAACUUGUUUUGAUGCUUUUCAUUGUUACGUCUUCUUCAGGAUGUUGCAAUGUGUUUGUUUGUUCACUUUCUGAAUAUUUUGUUUGCUGAACCUGCUGGCAGCAUUUUUAAAAGCACACAGUGAUUAUUAACAGGUCGUUAUGAUAGUAUUUGUUAAACAUAGGAAGUACAGCCUGUUCCUUUGGUGGAAAAGGUCAGUUUCAUAUUCACUUACAGGAACACUCAGGCUACAGAUCAUACUAAAGUCAAGGAAUACAGGGGAGUAAGUGGCAUUAAAACCUACAAAAAAAGCUCAUAAACAGUGUCUGACUCUGACCUCCUGUUGCCCUUUUCCAAAAAUAAAACAAGCUGAGUCCAGAUGAUUCAUUAGGAGCAACUGGAUUGGGGACGUCAGGCUUUUAUGUAAUCUGAGUGGGUUACAGUACACGCUCAAAUGAUGACAGAGGAGACAUCUGUGUUAUUUCAUGUCUGUGUGCAUUCAGAGCUGCACCUCAAAGACAGCCCAUGAUACUUAGGUAUAAUACAGAGUGUUAUCUCUAAUAGUACUCAGGGAAACUUAAGAUAUUUAUGAUUUCCCGGGAGUCAGAAGCAGAACGAUUAGGAGGAUCUGGGAAAUGUCUGAGCUGUUUUCUUUUAUGUUCUCUUGUGUAUUCUUGCAGGACAUGUGAAAGAAAUAUCUGAAAUUAAAUGCUUACACAUCUGGUCAUUGUUUGUUCUCUGUCGGCUGGUUUAUUGUACGAAUAAUAAUGGAGGUCCGUUCUCAUGAUCUUUGAGACUUUUCUGAACGGUCCAUCGCUGUUCUGAAACUCUAAUGUUGGUUGAAAUGAAAAGAAAUUCCCAAGUCCUCCACUGGGAUGCGGACUUGAUUGAAUCUGUUUCCCCGACAGGGAUUACAUUAUGUAAGACUUCAAGUAAUCCCAAAUUUUAUUCCACCACUGAGCUCACGGAUUAAAAGUGCUGCAGAGCAAGUACGCUGAAGUGGGUCACUGAGUUGCUGUGCCAUCUGUGUAUUUUCUUUGCUUUAAAUCCCCUUAAAUAUUUGGCUCAGAAAGAAAACAUGAAUUUUUGGUCCCAUGACACAUCCAAGAAAACAUCAGUACUUUCAGUUAACCUUGUUAAAAAACGAAAUCUAACCAUUUUCUGAAGAUGUGUUGGUCUGAUUGACAUUUGCCCAGUUUCCAAAACUGUCAUAUCUGCAGUUGUCAUGGUUACAGCUGCCUUAUUUAGAGGUGUACUCCAUCACUGAGUAAUGACUUUCUUAUGCUUUGUGAUCCAUGUCAUUGUUAGCAGUUAGAAUAAACAUGAAAUGUUGGAAGAGAUGCUCCUGUUUGUGUUUUGAGGGUUCGAAUGGUACUGUAUACUUGGUGAUGGCUUUAUUUUCAAGUGUUAUGCUAAUGAUUAUAAAUGACUUGCACCAAACUGCUAUUACCCAUAAUGAUCAAUUCUUGUAAUUAGUAGCGUGGUGUUAAAAUCCCAUACCGGAGCACAAACAUGACCACUUCAAAUCCAUUAUCAGUAAAAGUUGUCGAGUUUAAAAUGACGGUAUUUAAAUUUGUAAAUACAGCUUUUACUUUCACUCUAUUAAAAACAUGUAAACUGUAUUUCCAGACUUUAACUUAUACUGGGCUUGAAGCAAGUUAAGUGUCUGAAUGAAUGACUAGGAAGUUCAGAAAAUCUUUUGGAAAAACCCCAAAUCUUGCUUGAAGCUCCAGUAAGCGACUCGCUAGCGCCCCCCUCUUACCUGUUUUAUGUUUUUAUUUUGUAGUGUUCUUGUAUUGUCUAAGUUCCUUAUGACAAAUUAAAUUGGCCUUCAAUUCUGAGGCCUUGUUGUAACUGAGCUUUUGUUUUAAUUAUUAUUUUUAUGUGCUGACGUUAAGGUUCGCACGAUACAAAAAUUUCAAAUUUCACAUCGAUACCCAGGAAAAUACUCGAUACUCAAUACCAUUUUUUGAUACUGCAGGGAUAAAAAAAGUGACAAAUACUUUAAAUGGCAUAAAAAAUAUUUUUAUUAACAUGAAAAACCGAACGGCAGAUAAAUAAUAAAUUAAAUAAAACUACUAAAUAAUCAGAAAAUGAAAUAUUUUUUUAAAAUAAAAAACAAGACAAUCACUUUUUCACUUGGAACCCAGGUUUCUCCAAUGUGUAAAUGGGUAGUUGGUCCUCACAGAUAUACUCUGCUACAGCUGUGUUUAUUUUGACAGAUUCAGGAGACUGGUCAUACUUUCUCUUUUUUUCAUAUAGCGGAAGAGUAGGUUGUAGUUUAGUUGCAGGUCCACUUCUCUCUGCUUCAGUCUGCAUCUUUAAGAGAAGAAAACAUGUUUGAGUCACGUUAGUGAGCUAAAGGCUACUAGCUAGUAGCUAAGUGGCUAAUAAAACAACCAACAUUUACUGAGCAUUAUCAUUAUUAUUAUUAUUAUUAUUAUAAGUAGUAGUAGUAGUAGUAUUCACCAAGUAGUACAUCAUUUUUCUUUGUUGGUUUUGUCUUGUGACUUGGUCUUGCUUGUUAGUCUCUUUACAAAAAUCGUCAUCCUUUGGUCUUUUCAAAGUCAAAAACAGUGAAUCAGUCACAGUGAUGAAUUUUUGAUGUGCAUUCGGUCACUUCGUCCAACACCUAAUAAUGAAGAAAAAAUAAAUUGUCUCUCUGAUGGUUUUGUUUGUUUUUGCACGUCAAAUAGAGGCAUCAUGAUUAAUAUCAGUGUGUUUCAUCACCAACCAAAAACCCCUUACAGGAGCUUUAAUAUGAAAACAGCACAUUUAGCUACUUGGUUUGAUUAAAAGUAAGACUCUUCUGUAGAGGCUGCUCAUGACUUGAGUUUUGAUUGGUCUUUUAAUAUCGGUAAUAUCUUAUUGAAGAUAGGCCAUCAAAAACAGGCUGAAUGCUGCACUGUCUUUGCUCUUCCUGCAGCCUGGCUAUAAAAAAAACUUGGAUAUUUGCCAUGAUUCUCCUCCGCAGUGAAUCCACUAGUACGUGUGAUGUCAAACACUGCACUGUAGUUUACGCCAAGACAAGUAUGUCCAACUGCGGCUGUGUGUACAGAGGAGAUAAAUCACACAUACUGUAGAUACACCAGAUAUAGAGGUACUGUAUGUCCUUUCCUCUCAGCUGCUCUUCAGUAGUCAUCAUCCCAGAGACAAAUACAGACCGUCCGACAUUAGAGCCAUGAUGAAUGACCACUAGGAAUAGAUUUAGAUGCAUUAUGUUCACUAAUGUUACCAUGCAAAGCACGUCUCUGCAAAAUAGAGGAGUGGUCAGCUGCACAAGCAGCACUUUGCUAUUCACCGGACACAUUCAGAGAAACCGAGGCCUCGAGCCGGAGGGAGACACAAAACUGGACUUUCUAAAGAAAAUCGAGCCAGAGCAGGAGGCAGAGAGAGGGAGAGAGAGGGGAGAACUCGCCGGGUUCAUAUGCAUCUGAAUGAGCCUGUAACCAACUGGAUUUAAGCUGAGAUCCUUGGCGCUUCCUUUCACUCUGGUAGAAAGAAAAAAAAGAAAACGUCAAGCCCUGGACUGUUGAUAUUCCUUUCAUGGCUGUGAAUGCUCGCCGCUGAGAGAAGUUUGGCUCUUAGCAGAUGCCUCACACACGCCAUCACCAAGGAAGCUAUUGUGCAAACUCACCAUCACCAGCAACAGGACAGGCUUUUGUGGCUCAAGGUUUAACUCUUGCUUCUAAUUACUGCAUACAGCUGGAAAUUCACCAAACACAAACAAGGUUUCCACGUACGCCAUCAAAAACUGGCAAAGCAGAAGUUAAAUUUUAAACUCUUGAAGGAUGUCCGGUUCAAUCUGUUUUUCCUCUUGUUCGUUUGUUUGUAGAAAUCCAAAAAUUGAUGAUGCAAAAAAUGAAGACUAAUAUAAACAAAUAGAAAAAAAAUCAGCAAACAACAAGACAAUGGCUUCUAAAAAUAGUAAAUGCUUUGGUUGCCAAGGGGCCCAGAGUUUGUCUGAAUAGAAACGUCUGAAAACAUCUUCCCUCUAAGCGCAUUGUCAGUGUUAGUCUGAACUAAAUAGACAGGUUUUAUCUGCAGUAUUAUGCAAGAAGAGUCAAGUGAGGUUACACUUCUUCUGCAUAUAUAGGCUUAAAAAAAUAAUGUAAAAAAUAUUAGGUUAGGUUACAUUUGUACAGAAGAGAUAACUAUGUCAGAAUUACAAGAAAAGUUUAUUGAAAUAAUAAAAUUGUUGGACUUAAUGCACACAUCGCGCAUAAAAAAGUCCUAAACGUGUGUCUCAUCAAGUUAAUUUUACAGUAAUUCCUGCAUGGUGUUUUACAGUGCAAAGGGAGUGUGGUGAUUUAUUCUGUUAAAGACGUGAGCAGACUCUUAAAAACCCUCUUUGCUUUUCAGCUCUUUGUCUGCAGGUGUCGGCAGCUCACAUCCACCCAACAGGGGAUGAACGGGUGGCAGGUGGUGAGGAAAAUUCCCUCCUUAAAAUGUACAGACAACUCUUCAGAUCGCCGGUCUCCAUAUUCACUCUUUUUUGUCUCGCAAUGUAAACUGAGGGGGGAUUGAAGGGGUCUGUCAGUCGCUGCAGGCCUCCUCUGUUCUUUCAGUCCGGUCUCUGCGGGGAAGGGCACAAUGGGGAGCUGGCCUUGUUUCUGUGCCUCUCAGUUAGAGGGCAACAGAAGUGUUAUUUGAUGGGGGACUUGGCACAUGGAGUGUGUGCGCUGAAUCCCCUCCCUCCACACCCGUUAUUUCUGGCAUCUAUCUUUCGACUCAUCUCCUCCGGGUUUACUGGCAAGGAAACAUUAGUCCUCACAAGCCAAACAAGAGCAUGUCUGUGUUUUGUGUUGCAGGAUAACAGUGCUGUGUUGUUAUGAUAUUUUAUUUGUAUGUGCAGGAAAGAGAGAGCAUCCAUUCGUCAAAAGAAAAACAAAAAAAAUAUCAAAUGUGGAUUUUGUGAAAUAUUUCCUCUUUCACAAAAACAACAAAUUUAACGCAUUAUAACACUUCGAUUUUCUUCAUCAUAGUCUAACAGGGUUGGAAUAAUCCUGGAGACAUGUACAGUAUUAUAAGUCACUGAAUAGCGACCCAGCCAUACUGUACAUGAAUUUUUAAAGCACAGCUGAUGAAUUAUGUCCAUGAGAAAUGAACUAAAAGGGGAGGGCACUGAUUUCUACUGGGCAUUGGAUUCCUGGAAGCCCUGUUUUAAUAUGCAGAAUAUAAAAUGAUGGAUUAUCCCCUUCAUUGGGUUCAAUCCCUUAUUAAAAAGAACACCACUUAUAUAACCAGCACUGGGAGGCGGCUGGUGCAGUAAACCCAAGGCAUCAAAAAAUGAGAGGAAUUCAAAGCAAACCAUUUAAAGCUUCUGUGGGGAACUUUGGCGCCCCCUGUGGCCAAAGCAGUCUUUGCUUAUCUUAUCCUUUGCAUGCUUAAGUAGCAUCUUGACAUUAUCGUCACAUUAUCAUAUCAUAUGUCUCCUACUAUCCUUAUCGUCUCGUUAUUGUAUCAUUAUCAUAUCCUACGUGUCAUAUCUUUUUGUAUCGUAUCAUAGCGUAUUGAUCUUUAUCGUAUCUUUAUCAUGCUG